AUUGAACGCUGGCGGCAGGCCUAACACAUGCAAGUCGAGCGGAGCGGCGGACGGGUGAGUAAUGCCUAGGAAUCUGCCUGGUAGUGGGGGAUAACGUCCGGAAACGGGCGCUAAUACCGCAUACUAUCAGAUGAGCCUAGGUCGGAUUGGCUAGUUGGUGGGGGAAAGGCCUACCAGGGCGACGAUCCGUAACUGGUCUGAGAGGAUGAUCAGUCACACGGGAACUGCGACAAGGUCCAGACUCCUACGUGAGGCAGCAGUGGGGAAUAGUGGACAAUGGGGGAAAGCCGGAUCCAGCCAUGCCGCGGGUGUGAAGAAGGUCUUCGGAUUGUAAAGCACUUUAAGUUGGGAGGCGUUACCAACAGAAUAAGCACCGGCUAACUACGUGCCAGCAGCCGCGGUAAUUC
rnacentral:rRNA from 1 species